rnacentral:rRNA from 1 species
AUUGAACGCUGGCGGCAGGCCUAACACAUGCCAGUCGAACGGUAACAGGAAACAGCUUGCUGUUUCGCUGACGAGUGGCGGACGGGUGAGUAAUGUCUGGGAAACUGCCUGAUGGAGGGGGAUAACUACUGGAAACGGUAGCUAAUACCGCAUAACGUCGCAAGACCAAAGAGGGGGACCUUCGGGCCUCUUGCCAUCGGAUGUGCCCAGAUGGGAUUAGCUAGUAGGUGGGGUAACGGCUCACCUAGGCGACGAUCCCUAGCUGGUCUGAGAGGAUGACCAGCCACACUGGAACUGAGACACGGUCCAGACUCCUACGGGAGGCAGCAGUGGGGAAUAUUGCACAAUGGGCGCAAGCCUGAUGCAGCCAUGCCGCGUGUAUGAAGAAGGCCUUCGGGUUGUAAAGUACUUUCAGCGGGGAGGAAGGGAGUAAAGUUAAUACCUUGGCUCAUUGACGUUACCCGCAGAAGAAGCACCGGCUAACUCCGUG